rnacentral:rRNA from 1 species
AUUGAACGCUGGCGGCAGGCCUAACACAUGCAAGUCGAACGCGUCGCGGACGGGUGUGUAAUGUCUGGGAAACUGCCUGCUGGAGGGGGAUAACUACUGGAAACGGUAGCUAAUACCGCAUAACAUCAGAUGCCCCCAGAUGGGAUUAGCUUGGUGGUGGGGUAACGGCUCACCAAGGCCACGAUCCCUAGCUGGUCUGAGAGGAUGACCAGCCACACUGGAACUGAGACACGGUCCAGACUCCUACGGGAGGCAGCAGUGGGGAAUAUUGGACAAUGGGGGCAAGCCUGAUCCAGCCAUGCCGCGUGUAUGAAGAAGGCCUUCGGGUUGUAAAGUACUUUUGUUAGGGAGGCGGUACCUAAAGAAUAAGCACCGGCUAACUACGUGCCAGCAGCCGCGGUAAUAC